rnacentral:misc_RNA from 1 species
UGGACUACUCGGGUUUCUAAUCCUGUUUGCUCCCCACGCUUUCGUGCAUGAGCGUCAGUGUCAACCCAGGGAGCUGCCUUCGCCAUCGGUGUUCUUCCGCAUCUCUACGCAUUUCACUGCUACACAUGGAAUUCCACUCCCCUCUGCUGCACUCUAGCUUUGUAGUUUCAAACGCAAUUCCCAGGUUAAGCCCGGGGCUUUCACAUCUGACUUACAAGGCCGCCUGCGCACCCUUUACGCCCAGUAAUUCCGAUUAACGCUCGCACCCUACGUAUUACCGCGGCUGCUGGCACC